rnacentral:rRNA from 1 species
UACGUAGGGACCAAGCGUUGUUCGGAUUUACUGGGCGUAAAGGGCGCGUAGGCGGCGUGUUAAGUCAGCUGUGAAAUCUCCAAGCUUAACUUGGAACGGUCAGCUGAUACUGAUGUGCUAGAGUGCAGAAGGGGCAAUCGGAAUUCUUGGUGUAGCGGUGAAAUGCGUAGAUAUCAAGAGGAACACCUGAGGUGAAGACGGGUUGCUGGGCUGACACUGACGCUGUAGAGCGAAAGCGUGGGGAGCGAACAGG